UACGGGGGGAGCAAGCGUUGUUCGGAUUUACUGGGCGUAAAGGGCGCGUAGGCGGCCACCGCAAGUCAAUUGUGAAAUCUCCGGGCUUAACCCGGAAAGGUCAACUGAUACUGCGGGGCUAGAGUGCGGAAGGGGCAACUGGAAUUCUCGGUGUAGCGGUGAAAUGCGUAGAUAUCGAGAGGAACACCUGCGGCGAAGGCGGGUUGCUGGGCCGACACUGACGCUGAGGCGCGAAAGCCAGGGGAGCGAACGGG
rnacentral:rRNA from 1 species